rnacentral:rRNA from 1 species
UACGGGGGGGGCAAGCGUUGUUCGGAAUUACUGGGCGUAAAGGGCUCGUAGGCGGCCAACUAAGUCGGACGUGAAAUCCCCAGGCUCAACCUGGGAACUGCGUCCGAUACUGGAUGGCUUGAAUCCGGGAGAGGGAUGCGGAAUUCCAGGUGUAGCGGUGAAAUGCGUAGAUAUCUGGAGGAACACCGGUGGCGAAGGCGGCAUCCUGGACCGGUAUUGACGCUGAGACGCGAAAGCAUGGGGAGCAAACAGG